UACGGAGGGUGCAAGCGUUAUCCGGAUUCACUGGGUUUAAAGGGUGCGUAGGUGGGUCUGUAAGUCAGUGGUGAAAUCUCCAAGCUUAACUUGGAAACUGCCGUUGAUACUAUAGACCUUGAAUGCUGUGGAGGUGAGCGGAAUAUGUCAUGUAGCGGUGAAAUGCUUAGAUAUGACAUAGAACACCAAUUGCGAAGGCAGCUCACUGCCCAGAUAUUGACACUGAGGCACGAAAGCGUGGGGAUCAAACAGG
rnacentral:rRNA from 1 species